CUCCGACGCCGCCGUUUUAUGGGGUUCGCCGCCGUGCGUCUGUUGUGUGUGCGUGCAUCAACGUGUUUACGCGACGAGAUGUGUUUUAUAAUAAAUUGAUGGUUUGGAGAGAAAAAAAACAAAAACAAUAACAAAACGGAACGAGGGAAAAAAAUGUUCAACGACCGGAUGCGAAAACGGUUUCGCGUUGCCACCGCCGGCCACAACGUGAUGGACUGCAGACGGUAGACCGCGGUAAGCCAGUACGGCGCGCGUGCAUACUGCUAUCCGCAUCCCACUGCAACACGCAAUCGCAACAGUAUAAUACUAGCUGCACUGAUCGUAAAGUACACAAACGGCAACAAUAAUUUGGAGAGAGCAACAUAAUUUUUUCGUACAUAAUUAUGUGGUAUUAACGGCGAGAAAUAUAGUUAUUAUUAUUAUACAGGAAUACAGUGCGACAAUGAGCUUAAGAGACUUUGAUGAGUUCGAUGGGAACAGUUGUAUUUAAAUCGAAUUUCUCUACAUACAUAAUGAUUGCAUUGGAUGAACAACACUGAGUCGAGAUGAGAUGUAUAUAUUGUCAUACUUCGUUAUAUCGACAUAAUACCUCUUUGCAAAUUCCAAGAAAACGUAACACAAUCAACAACUCGAGGAUAUGCGUAACUUAUAUAACGUGUAAUGAGAAUAAGCUUAAAGGGGCACUUACCAGUUACCCUUCUCGUUAAGAUGUUCCUUCGAAAGCUCUUAUUGAAUUCGACAGUAAAACGGUUCCUUUCAGAAGGUCAGCAAGUAACAAAGACACCCUCCUAGUCCAAUGAACAGCAAGCACGGGAAAGAGGAAACAGUUAUCGCGACAGCGACACCAUCAUAAUACGAAUGCGAAAUUUGACGAUUUUGUUAAUAACCAGCUAUUAUAAUAUAUUAUUGUUAGUAAGGGCAGUAAGGCGAUAGAUAUCGAUUUAGUUGUUUCGUUGGCUCCGAGACUCAGUGUUUAGUAACAAAAUAAAUUCAUAAUACAUAGUAUAGAAAUACGAAUAAUACAAUUAACAGAAACACAUUCAACGUUACCAUUAACACAGAUUGAAUUGAAUAUAAUUAUAAUAAGUGUCAUGAUUUAUGAAUAAUAUAUUGCAACAGUGGGUAUUUAAGCCAAAUAACGCUAUAUUAGUGCACUCUAUUUUGGAAUGAAUUAGUUUUUUUUUCAAAUAAAUAAAGCAACAGAGAGCGCUCACGCACACACUUACGGAAAAUGUAUAAACAAUACACGUGACAGCGAUGAAUCCUUCAGAGGAAGACAAUAAUAUUACAAGGUUGGGUUAGGUUAUAUAGGUGUCACCUGUAGAAAGUAACAGGAGUAUAAUAGUUAUACAAAAUCAAAUGGAUGGAAGUAGACGAAGACGAACGAGACGAGGUGGAAGAAGAUGAAAAGACGCGCCAUAAUAAUAAUAACCGAUAAUAUAUUGGGGAGUUCGGCAUGUUUACGACCCGAUGGUAUUAUUAUGAACGUGUGGCGGCGGCUGUGAUUAUAUGAUUAUUGUAAAACGACGACCAAGGCGCCUGUGGUUUGGCAUGGAUCACCAUCAUCAUGUGGGCCCCACUACUAACCCAUGCAAUCCUGCUUAUGCAAGUCAGUAAUGAAAAAAUAAGAUGAAAACGGUAAAGUAUGAAAGGUGUGGAGAAGACCGUGGCCGUGACGGACGUUGACAAUUCCCUGAAUGGCAUAUACGGAUACAGCAAACGCAUAUAUGUAUUUAGAAAUGGCGGGUUAAAAUAAUAAUGAAGAACUCAAAAUAAGACAUUCUCAGCCUAUUGAAUACAAACAACAUCGUUCAAUUAAUAUGGCCACUAUAAUAUGUACCGAAUAUUUUAUUUAUUCAUUUGCGAUAAGAAUAUAUAAAGAAUAAAAGUCAAUACGAAGUUUAACACAACAUAAU
rnacentral:lncRNA from 1 species